GGCGGAAAAGAAACCAACAGGGAUUGCCUCAGUAACGGCGAGUGAAGCGGCAACAGCUCAAAUUUGAAAUCUGGAGCCUUUGGCUUCCGAGUUGUAAUUUGAAGAGGAUGUUUCGGUUGUGGCCUGGGCCUAAGUUCCUUGGAACAGGACGUCAUGGAGGGUGAGAAUCCCGUACAUGGCUGCAGGCUUACUUCCAUGUGAAACUCCUUCGAAGAGUCGAGUUGUUUGGGAAUGCAGCUCAAAAUGGGUGGUAAAUUUCAUCUAAAGCUAAAUAUUGGCGGGAGACCGAUAGCGCACAAGUAGAGUGAUCGAAAGAUGAAAAGCACUUUGAAAAGAGAGUUAAACAGCACGUGAAAUUGUUGAAAGGGAAGCGCUUGCGAUCAGACUCGCUCUCGGUUGAUCAACGUUCCUUCUGGUGCGUGCACUCUGCCGUUGGCGGGCCAGCAUCGGUUGGGGCGGCGGGACAAAGGCGGCGGGAAUGUGGCUCCUCUCGGGGAGUGUUAUAGCCCGCUGUGUAAUGCCGCCAGCCCCGACCGAGGUCCGCGGUUCUGCCUAGGAUGCUGGCUUAAUGGUCGUAAGCGACCCGUCUUGAAACACGGACCAAGGAGUCUAACAUCUAUGCGAUCUUUUGGGUGUCAAACCCAUGGGCGGAAUGAAAGUGAACGGAGGUGGGAGUCCUCGGAUGCACCAUCGACCGAUCCCUAUGUUCUCGGAUGGAUUUGAGUAUGAGCAUAGCUGUUGGGACCCGAAAGAUGGUGAACUAUGCCUGAAUAGGGUGAAGCCAGAGGAAACUCUGGUGGAGGCUCGCAGCGGUUCUGACGUGCAAAUCGAUCGUCAAAUUUGGGUAUAGGGGCGAAAGACUGGUCGAGCCAUCUAGUAGCUGGUUCCUGCC
rnacentral:rRNA from 1 species